UACGGGGGGGGCAAGCGUUGUUCGGAAUUACUGGGCGUAAAGGGCUCGUAGGUGGCCAACUAAGUCAUACGUGAAAUCCCUCAGCUUAACUGGGGAACUGCGUCUGAUACUGGAUGGCUUGAGUUUGGGAGAGGGAUGCGGAAUUCCUGGUGUAGCGGUGAAAUGCGUAGAGAUCAGGAGGAACACCUAUGGCGAAAGCAGGUUACUGGCCCAAUACUGACACUGAGCUGCGAAAGCUAGGGGAGCAAACAGG
rnacentral:rRNA from 1 species